GAUGAAGAACGUAGCGAAAUGCGAUAAGUAAUGUGAAUUGCAGAAUUCAGUGAAUCAUCGAAUCUUUGAACGCACCUUGCGCCCUUUGGCCAUUCCGAAGGGCAUGCCUGUUUGAGUAUCAUGAACACCUCAACUCUUUAUGGUUUUCCAUGAUGAGCUUGGACUUUGGGGGUUUUGCUGGCCUAUGGUCGGCUCCUCUAAAAUAAAUCAGCUUACCGGUGUUUGGUGGGUAUCAUGGGUGUGAUAACUAUCUACGCUUGUGGUUUUUCCACCAGGUAACCUUCGACAGCGGAGGUUCACUGGAGCUCAUAGAUGUCUCUCCUCAGCGAGGACAGCCCUUUGAAUGUUUGAUCUCAAAUCAGGUAGGACUACCCGCUGAACUUAAGCAUAUCAAAAGCGGAGGA
rnacentral:misc_RNA from 1 species